UAACCAUUUAAUUCAUACUAGGUCUAAUGGAUGUGGAAAAGUGGUUCAUAAGAGACUGGUUUGAGCUAUUGACAUGGCUGCAUUUGAGUUUGAUCUACUAGAAGAAUAUGAUUCACGCUUUGAGAAACUGAGUCUAGGUGAUAAAUUGCCUAUCAAAUUCUCCAAGUGAGUAAUUGUUAGAAAGACAAGUUAUUGAAUUAUAG
rnacentral:sRNA from 1 species